AAGACAGAGCGAGAUCCUGCUUCUUACAAAAAAAAGAAAGAAAAAAAUUUUUGUAGCAGUUAACAAACUUUCUUUUCUAUGUAGGGUAUGAUAAAUGGACAUAUCUACUCUGUGCUGUUUGAACCUACUAAACUAAAAAAAAAUGAUGUCUUUAGUUAAAUAAAGUAAGCAUCACGCUUAAUAGGAUUGCUAUUUCCAUUUGCAGCAGAAAGAUCUCAGAGUAAAGAAGAACUUAAAGAAAUUCAGAUAUGUGAAGUUGAUUUCCAUGGAAACCUCGUCAUCCUCUGAUGACAGUUGUGACAGCUUUGCUUCUGAUAAUUUUGCAAACACGAGGCUGCAGUCAGUUCGGGAAGGCUGUAGGACCCGCAGCCAGUGCAGGCACUCUGGACCUCUCAGGGUGGCGAUGAAGUUUCCAGCGCGAAGUACCAGGGGAGCAACCAACAAAAAAGCAGAGUCCCCCCAGCCCUCAGAGAAUUCUGUGACUGAUUCCAACUCCGAUUCAGAAGAUGAAAGUGGAAUGAAUUUUUUGGAGAAAAGGGCUUUAAAUAUAAAGCAGAACAAAGCAAUGCUUGCAAAACUCAUGUCUGAAUUAGAAAGCUUCCCUGGCUCGUUCCGUGGAAGACAUCCCCUCCCAGGCUCCGACUCACAAUCAAGGAGACCGCGAAGGCGUACAUUCCCGGGUGUUGCUUCCAGGAGAAACCCUGAACGGAGAGCUCGUCCUCUUACCAGGUCAAGGUCCCGGAUCCUCGGGUCCCUUGAUGCUCUACCCAUGGAGGAGGAGGAGGAAGAGGAUAAGUACAUGUUGGUGAGAAAGAGGAAGACCAUGGAUGGCUACAUGAAUGAAGAUGACCUGCCCAGAAGCCGUCGCUCCAGAUCAUCCGUGACCCUUCCGCAUAUAAUUCGCCC
rnacentral:sRNA from 1 species